UGUCUAUGAGUAAAAUAUCGAGAACAAGUAGUGGUUUUAUAGAAUGCCCGACAGAAUUGAACAGUAUAUAGAUAAAUCCUGAGCUUAACUGAGCAGGGAAAAACCGUUUAGAUUAAAGUACUAAUAAUACUGAUAUUGAGUGCGCACAUAUUUUAUAAAUACCUUGAAUACGACAAAAUGAAUUCAGCUUCGAUUCCGAAUACGCCAGAAAGGUGCUCGUACGAUAGGAAACGUAUUUCCUCGGAAUCACUAUUUUAAUAAAACACACAUCCGCGCGUAAACUCAUGAAUGUAUGUAAGUGUGUAUGUAUGUAUAUAUGUGUGUAUAUAAUUGUAUGAAUAUAAUCGUAUAUAUAUAUAUAUAUAUAUAUAUAUAUAUAUAUAUAUAUAUAUGUAAUUAUAAACUCUGUUUCAUGUAUUGAUUUCUCUCUCAUUUGUGAACAAAAUAAGCAAAAGCUUAUAUACAGACACAUCCACACACAGUAUAUGUGUGUGUUUGCGUCUGUGUAUUUGUGAAUUUGUGAAUGCGGGUGAAUGGGUGCACUAGUAUUUGUGUAUGAAUGCGUGGACGUGUAUGCCAUGUAUGCACACAAACACAAAUUCAUACAUUGCUACAUGCAUGCCAUGCAUAAAUUGAAAUAUAUGUAUAUUUUAAAAUAUAUCUAUAAACAUACAUAUAUAGAAUAUAUAUACACAAUAUUUAUUAUAGAUAUAUAUAUAUAUAUAUAUAUAUACAAUAUAUAUAUAUAUAUAUCGGCGGCAAAUUUAGAAACUACAUUGCAUGAAGCGAUAAUGAGACAAUAAUAUAAGCAGCGAACAAUCCCUUUUAAUCGGAUGUAUUGGCAACAGCUGGGACACAAAUACGCCUUCCUCGCUGUAUUCAUAAUCUCCAAACGGCUUAAUCAUAUCAUAUUGUUGGAAGAUAUUCUUUGUGCUCAUAUUCUUUUUCAUAUCAUAAGUGCAUUGCCAUUUCGUGUUUUAAGUGAUAAGUGUGAGUGAGUGAGGAGUGAAGAAAAAAAUAAAGGAAAUUGGGAAUGUUUUUAGAAAAAAAAAAAAAAAAAGAAAAAAUACAUGCGAAGAUUUCUUUCCCAAAUCUAGCAAAAUUUGUGAUUGCCUUUGCGGUGUGCUUAGAAAUAUUCUGUUAUUUGAUGCGAACGAAAAAAUAAAAUAAUAAUAAUAAUAAAAAAAUGUAUCUUAGGUUAUUAUUAAUAGGCAAGGAUUUGUGCUGUUUUGGUCUGAAAGAUCCUGUGUUUGCAGGAGUCUUAGUUGGAGAACUCUCUAUAUCAAGAGGACUGCACCUUCUGUGUGUCUGCAUAUUUUGAAUGCUAUAUAUAACUUAUAUCUUAUUUCAGUUUCCUCUCUUUUUCGUUCAUCUUUAUAUGUAAAUACCCAGAAAAAUUAAAAACUGUAAUGUCCCCCUCAUAUGAUGCAACUGUAGAAAAAAUUACUAUUAUUAUUAUUAUUAUUAUUAAUACUAUUUUUGUUGAGUGAGAGAGCAGCACAUGCCACAUGCCAUGAAAAUGACACUGGGGUAAAAUAUACGAAUAUUAUUAUUAUUAUCAUCAUCAAUCAUCAAGGCGGCGAACUGGCAGUAUCGUUAACACGCCGGACAAAAUGCUUAGCAACAUUUCACACGUCUUUACGUUCUGAUUUCACAUGCCGCCGAGGUCAUCCUUUCGGGGUCAAUUAAAUGACUUUCAUUUUUCAUCCUUUCGGGAAUUAAAUGAGUACCAGUUGAGCACUGGGGUCGAUGGAAUCAACUUAUACCCUCCCCUGAAAUUGUUGAUCUCGUGCCAAAAAUUGAAACCAUUCCAUUAUUAUUAUUAUAAAAUUUGUACGAGCUACACCCAUGUCUGAACCAAAGACGAAAAAGGACAAGUUUUUAUAUCUGAAGAUGCAAACGGUUGAGGUGCCGUUUAGUUAGAUAAAACUGAGGUCUGUACGUUAUAAGACCUUUUUCAUAACAUUUAUAAUCAAAUUCAAUAACUAUGAUUGUAUUUAGAUGGAAAGAAAUUUACGUUAGAUAUGUAGGGUACCUAUAAGCAUGAUCUUUAUACUCGGUUAUGUUCUGCAUCAAAAUUCUACACGAAUCGAUUUUGAUAAAAUAGGAACCAGUUAGGUUUUAGUAUCGAUCUGUUCGACUAUACCCUAUCCCUGGAAUGUGUGGUCCUGUGAUAGCUGCCACCUUCUCUUGGUAGGGAACGACAAGCCGUUUCAUCUGUCAAGUACCUUGUCGUAUAGUAAACAAGCACGAAACGUUUGAGAACGGGUGUCUUUUUUUCAUACGACCUCGUCAUUUUAUUCAAGAAAUGUCUGAAGCGGAAGGGGAAAGUGGAGAGGUGAGUUCUGUCUCAGUAAAUUUACUCAAAAGUGGAUGAGAUUGGAGGCUUUGAGUGGCUGGAUAGAUGUAUUAUGGGUGUAUAU
rnacentral:lncRNA from 1 species